UACGUAGGGGGCAAGCGUUGUCCGGAUUUACUGGGCGUAAAGCGCGUGUAGGCGGAGACGGAAGUCCGGUGUGAAAGCCCCCGGCUCAACCGGGGAAGGUCGCUGGAAACUCCGUUUCUUGAGGGCGGCAGAGGGAAGUGGAAUUGCUGGUGUAGCGGUGAAAUGCGUAGAGAUCAGCAGGAACACCCGUGGCGAAGGCGGCUUCCUGGGCCGCGCCUGACGCUGAGACGCGAAAGCGUGGGGAGCGAACGGG
rnacentral:rRNA from 1 species